rnacentral:misc_RNA from 1 species
AGAUCUGCAGUCAAUGAUGGUGUUUGUGUUGCUGGUAGAAGAAAAAGGGGUCCAAAUAAGAGAGUGAAGGGUUCUGAGUCAUUGAACACAAAACCCUCGGAGCAUGUGGACCAUGUGAUCAUGAACCUACCAGCUUCUGCUCUGGAGUUUCUUGAUGCCUUUAGAGGCCUUAUUAGAAGGAGAUACUGGAAGGGAUCUCUACCCUGGAUUCACUGCUAUUGCUUCAUACGAGCAAGUGAA